GACUCAAAGAGCAUAAAAAUGAUAUCAAAGCCGGCAGAAUUACAAUGGCCCUAGCGGAGCAAGCAUAUCAUAACGAUUUACAUAUAGAAUGGGACCGCGCGGAAAUUAUAAGGCCAAUUAAAGUUCCAACACAGGCAAUAACCCAAGAGACAAUUGAGAUAUUAAAAGCAAAGGAUACCCUAAUAAACAACAAGCCAUCAGCAGACUUACCAGCGGCCUGGAGGUACAUAUUAAGAAAUUGUAAAUGAAACCAUAUUAGACCAAAAGAGGGGAAGUCAUACGUGCAUAGAUACCUACCAGUUAAGUGUACCACGUGCAAUUAAUACCUCUCUCGUACGGCAAACGGCAUAUGCAUUUAAUUUAUAUUUUUAUUGGCACUUUAUAUUUAUUUAGUUCCUUAUAUAACCACUUGAUUGUAUUAAUAUUUAUUCUUCAAAGUUAUAUACGCGAUGUUUCGGGUUACCAUAGAGAUACUAAUUAUUGUUAAUGUUCGUUAUUUUAAAAAAUAUUAUCAGUUCUAUGUUCUAUUAGCUAUUGUUCUUUUUAUUUUGUGAACCUGAUGAUGGCCGCUAGCGCAACCGAAAACGUUAGUAUGUAACAGUGGGGGAUGUAUAGUUAUGGUUACUGCUGAAUAGUGC
rnacentral:lncRNA from 1 species